UGGGGCGUCGCCAAGCGGUAAGGCACCGGAUUUUGAUUCCGGCAUUCGGAGGUUCGAUCCCUCCCGCCCCAGCCA
rnacentral:tRNA from 2 species